rnacentral:sRNA from 1 species
UCCGUUUGCCUUCGGCGGUUGGUUCUAAC